rnacentral:lncRNA from 1 species
GUGUGAUAUUUACAAUCUUUUAAAUGUGAAGUUCCUCAUGUGUUAACCCCACCAACAACAUCACUCAAUCGGUGUGAAAAUAGACAAUUGUAAAGAUAUUUACAAGCUUUCAGAUAAAUAUUUCAAAAUUGGCUUGCUCCUCAUGUCCAUGCUACCUCAAACUAAAAAGCAACUUACUCAUACAUAGUCAUAUAUAAUCUAAAAGCAAACAAAAUGAAGCACAAACAUUUCAAAAC